AUCAAUGUUGGGAAGCGACCUCCCCUAUUUAUCCACAGUACAGGAAUAGUACAGCAUAAGCGAUGGCGAUGUAAUCUUCAUCCAUACUGCCAUCCUAUUAUGCCCCUACUCUGACCUGGAGUGACCACCUCUAGGGGUAAGAAGACAGUUCUGUUUCCAUGCUCACUGGACCUUUGGUUUAU
rnacentral:sRNA from 1 species